rnacentral:rRNA from 1 species
AUUGAACGCUGGCGGCAGGCUUAACACAUGCAAGUCGAGCGGAGAUGAGGUGCUUGUACCUUAUCUUAGCGGCGGACGGGUGAGUAAUGCUUAGGAAUCUGCCUAUUAGUGGGGGACAACAUUCCGAAAGGAAUGCUAAUACCGCAUACGUCCUACGGGAGAAAGCAGGGGAUCUUCGGACCUUGCGCUAAUAGAUGAGCCUAAGUCGGAUUAGCUAGUUGGUGGGGUAAAGGCCUACCAAGGCGACGAUCUGCAGCGGGUCUGAGAGGAUGAUCCGCAACACUGGGACUGAGACACGGCCCAGACUCCUACGGGAGGCAGCAGUGGGGAAUAUUGGACAAUGGGCGAAAGCCUGAUCCAGCCAUGCCGCGUGUGUGAAGAAGGCCUUUUGGUUGUAAAGCACUUUAAGCGAGGAGGAGGCUACUUAGAUUAAUACUCUAGGAUAGUGGACGUUACUCGCAGAAUAAGCACCGGCUAACUCUGUGCCAGCAGCCGCAGUAACAC